rnacentral:tRNA from 1 species
GCGGUUUUGGGGCUGGCAACUUACUUUUAAUCAGUAGGUCCCGGGUUCGAGCCCCGGCGCUCUCACCA